rnacentral:misc_RNA from 1 species
CACAGUAGGGGUAGGUUUCUUGGAACGUGCUUAGUAUGAACAAAAUUCUAACGAUCCAGAAUGAAAAAAGGAAUGUAAAAUGUCCUUGUCUAGAAAUGUGGUAUCAUUGGGAGUAGGUUUCUUUCAAGUUGCUUAAUGAGAACAAAAUAGAUAUCCAGAUUGCAUAUGUGAUGCAAUGUGCAUUAGUAUCAUCUGAUGUAUGAAAAUAAGAAUAACCAAAAAGAUUUUCUACUGUCCUA